rnacentral:rRNA from 1 species
CCUGGUUGAUCCUACCAGUAGUCAUAUGCUUGUCUCAAAGAUUAAGCCAUGCAUGUGUAAGUAUGAACUAGUUCAGACUAUGAAACUAUGAAUGGCUCAUUAAAUCGGUUAUAGUUUGUUUGAUGGUAUCUACUACUCAGAUAACCAUAGUAAUUCUAGAGCUAAUAUGUGCAAUAAACCUCGACUUUUAGAAGGGAUGCAUUUAUUAGAUAAAAGGUCAACGUGGGCUAUACCCGCUGCUCUGAUGAUUCAUGAUAACUCGACGGAUCGCACAGCCUUUGUGCUGACGAUGCAUCAUUCAAAAUUUUGCCCUAUCAACUUUCGAUGGUAGGAUAGUGGCCUAUUAUGGUGGUGACGACUAACAAAGAAUUAGGGUUCGAUUCUGGAGAGGGAACCUGAAAAACGGCUACCACAUCUAAGGAAGGCAACAGGCGCGCAAAUUACCUAAUCCUGACACGGGGAGGUAGUGACAAUAAAUAACAAUACCGAGCUCCAUAAGUCUGGUAAUUGGAAUGAGUACAAUAUAAAUCCCUUAACGAGGAUCCAUUGAAGGGCAAGUCUGGUGCCAGUAGCCAUGAUAAUUCCAGCUCCAAUAGCAUAUAUUUAAGUUGUUGCAGUUAAAAAGCUCGUAGUUGGAACUAGGGUUGGGUCGUUCGGUCUGCCUCACGGUGAGCAUCGAUCUACUCGUCCCUACUGUCGGUGAUGCGCUCAUGGACUUAAUUACCCAGGUCGUUCCUCUGGUGCUGUUACAAUGAAGAAAUUAGAGUGCUCAAAGUAGGCCUACAUUUGUAUACAUUAGCAUGGGAUAACAUCAUAGGAUUUCGAUCCUAUUGUGUUAGCCUUCUAGAUCAGAGUAAUGAUUAACAGGGAUAGUCGGGGGCAUUCAUAUUUCAUAGUCAGAGGUGAAAUUCUUGGAUUUAUGAAAGAUGAACAACUACGAAAGCAUUUACCAAGGAUGUUUUCAUUAAUCAAGAAUGAAAGUUGGGGGCUCGAAAAUGAUCAGAUACCAUCCUAGUCUCAACCAUAAACGAUGCCGACCAAGGAUCGGCUAAUGUUACUUUUAGGACUCCGCUGGCACUUUAUGAGAAAUCAAAGUCUUUGGGUUCCAAGGGGAGUAUGGUCACAAGGCUGAAACUUAAAGGAAUUAACAGAAGGGCACCACCAGGAGUGGAGCUUGCGACUUAAUUUGACUCAACACGAGGAAACUUACCAGGUCCAGACAUAGUAAGGAUUGAUGGAUUGAGAGCUCUUUCUUGAUUCUAUGGGUGGUGGUGCAUGGCCGUUCUUAGUUGGUAGAGCGAUUUGUCUAGUUAAUUUUGUUAACAAAUGAGACCUCAGCCUACUAACUAGCUACGUGGAGGUGAUCCUUCGUGGCUAGCUUCUUAGAGGGACUAUGGCCGUUUAGGCCAAGGAAGUUUGAGGCAAUAAUAGGUCUGUGAUGCCCUUAAAUGUUCUGGGCUGCACGCGCGUUACACUGAUGUAUUCAAUGAGUCUAUAGCCUUGGCUGACAGGCUCGGGUAAUCUUUGAAAUUUCAUCGUGAUGGGGAUAGAUCAUUGCAAUUGUUGGUCUUCAAUGAGGAAUUCCUAGUAAGCGCGAGUCAUCAGCUCGCGUUGACUACGUCCUUGCCCUUUGUACACACCGCCCGUCGCUCCUACUGAUUGAAUGGUCCGGUGAAGUGUUCGGAUCAUUACGAUGUGGACAGUCCGCCACCCGUGACGUCGUGAAAAGUUUACUAACCUUAUCAUUUAGAGGAAGGAGAAGUCGUAACAAGGUUUUCGUAGGUGAACCUACAGAAG